rnacentral:rRNA from 1 species
CCUACGGGUGGCAGCAGUGGGGAAUAUUGGGCAAUGGAGGCAACUCUUACCCAGCAAUGCCGCGUGAAUGAAGAAGGUCUUCGGAUUGUAAAGUUCUUUAAUUGGGGACGAAAAAAAUGACGGUACCCAAGUAAUAAGCCCCGGCUAACUACGUGCCAGCAGCCGCGGUAAUACGUAGGGGGCAAGCGUGGUUCGGAAGGACGGGGCGUAAAGGGUGUGUAGGCGGUGUAGCAAGUUAGAAGUGAAAUACCUAGGGCUUAACUCAGGUGCUGCUACUAAAACUGCUAUACUUGAGUGCAGUAGAGGAAAGUGGAAUUCCUAGUGUAGCGGUGGAAUGCGUAGAGAUUAGGAGGAACAUCAGUGGCGAAGGCGACUUUCUGGACUGUAACUGACGCUGAGGCACGAAAGUGUGGGGAGCAAACAGGAUUAGAUACCCUAGUAGUC